UACGUAGGGGGCUAGCGUUGUCCGGAAUCAUUGGGCGUAAAGAGCGUGUAGGCGGUCCGGUAAGUCCGUUGUGAAAGUCAAGGGCUCAACCCUUGAAUGCCGGCGGAUACUGUCGGGCUAGAGUCCGGAAGAGGCGAGUGGAAUUCCCGGUGUAGCGGUGAAAUGCGCAGAUAUCAGGAGGAACACCUAUUGCGAAGGCAGCUCGCUGGGACGUAACUGACGCUGAGACGCGAAAGCGUGGGGAGCAAACAGG
rnacentral:rRNA from 1 species